rnacentral:rRNA from 1 species
GGACGAACGCUGGCGGCGUGCUUAACACAUGCAAGUCGAACGGAAAGGCCUCUUUCGGGGGGUACUCGAGUGGCGAACGGGUGAGUAACACGUGAGUAACCUGCCCUUGACUUUGGGAUAACUUCAGGAAACUGGGGCUAAUACCGGAUAGGAGCUCCUGCUGCAUGGUGGGGGUUGGAAAGUUUCGGCGGUUGGGGAUGGACUCGCGGCUUAUCAGCUUGUUGGUGGGGUAGUGGCUUACCAAGGCUUUGACGGGUAGCCGGCCUGAGAGGGUGACCGGCCACAUUGGGACUGAGAUACGGCCCAGACUCCUACGGGAGGCAGCAGUGGGGAAUAUUGCACAAUGGGUGGAAGCCUGAUGCAGCAACGCCGUGUGCGGGAUGACGGCCUUCGGGUUGUAAACCGCUUUCGCUCAUGACGAAGCUUUGUGUGACGGUAGUGGGGAAAGAAGCACCGGCUAACUACGU